GUAUUUCAUUCAAGACAUUUUAUUGUUUCUAUUCUUGGUUGGCUUACAGUAAUGGUCAUGUUCAAAGGGUUAGGGUUCAAAGGAUGCAAGGUGGGAGAGUGACGUGGUGGAACAGAGGAACGCGUGGUGGAACAGAGGAACGCGUGGUGGAACAGAGGAACGCGUAGGGCCUCUGGAAUCACAAGCCGCCUGGCCGGGUCUUGGUACACCGCCUCCCCCUGGCUCCAUGCCCUCCCCUGGAUGUAAACAAACCAAUCCAUUUUACAGGACUGCCAGCCCAAUUAAAGGUUGUGAAUCAAUUUCCUUUUGUGGAAAAGGAGGGCAGUUUGUUCCACUAGGCUGUGUGUUUAGUGU